UGAGAUGGUUGACCAGAGAGCACACGCUUUAUUUAUGACGUUUGUGACCUGGUCCACUAACCCU
rfam:Loxodonta africana unplaced genomic scaffold scaffold_9, whole genome shotgun sequence.